rnacentral:lncRNA from 1 species
CUCCAAAGAACUGACAGCUCUGACCCACAUACACACACACAAACACACACCAGCUUCCUUUAAUGAUUUAUUCAGAGUAAAUCUACAGAUGGCUUAAAGUCAGAAGACCUCAUCAUCGUGGAGAAGUUAGAGGUGGCCUCGCCUGGUGAUGACUAUAUUGUGAUCAUCUGACUUCUGUCUUUUUUUUUCAAAUGACUAAAAUGAACGCUUAUCUAAAGUUGGUUAUUUAACUUCCUCACGGUCUGCUCUUCCAACAUGGACUUUGUUUUGGUUUACACACUGAUACUUGCCUUACUUUCCAUCGGACAGAGUUGCACUGAGGGAAUAGAAAAAAACGAUUCAUGUUAUGAAGUGUGCCCACCUGGUAAGUUGUGAACAAGGAGCUUUGUAUUGGCCUUGCGUUGUACAGUUCUAGUGGAUUAAGCACAUAUUAACUCUCUUUCUCCUGUUCUCCCAGGAUAUUAUCAUUUUGGUAACUGUGAUGAUCAAGCUGCAAAGUACAGAUGUAAGAAGUGCGGUACUGGCACAUUCACAGCCAUAAAGAACACUGCAAAGGCAUGCAUUAGAUGUGGCGUAUGUGGUAAUUUUGAGGUGGUAAAAACACAGUGCACCUGUGAUAGUGAUGUGAAAUGUGACUGUAUCAUGGGAUACUACUACAAUGGAAAUCCUUCCAUCGUUGAAAGGGCUUGCCGGAAAUGCAAUUCUAAAUACUGUAAAGAGAUUGAUACGAAGCCUGACUACAAAAGGAAUUGCCAGUCCUUCUGCCAGAGCAAGGAGUGUUUAGAACUCCCAGCACCUGCAUUUCCACCUUCUCCAAAUAUAUCUACAGCUGCAACUAUACCAACAUCUUC